rnacentral:rRNA from 1 species
GACGAACGCUGGCGGCGUGCUUAACACAUGCAAGUCGAACGGUAAGGCCCUUCGGGGUACACGAGUGGCGAACGGGUGAGUAACACGUGGUGAUCUGCCCUGCACUUCGGGAUAAGCUUGGGAAACUGGGUCUAAUACCGGAUAGGACCACGGUCUGCAUGGAUUGUGGUGGAAAGCUUUUGCGGUGUGGGAUGGGCCCGCGGCCUAUCAGCUUGUUGGUGGGUGAUGGCCUACCAAGGCGACGACGGGUAGCCGGCCUGAGAGGGUGUCCGGCCACACUGGGACUGAGAUACGGCCCAGACUCCUACGGGAGGCAGCAGUGGGGAAUAUUGCACAAUGGGCGCAAGCCUGAUGCAGCGACGCCGCGU